rnacentral:rRNA from 1 species
UACGUAGGGGCUAGCGUUGUCCGGAAUCAUUGGGCGUAAAGAGCGUGUAGGCGGCCCGGUAAGUCCGCUGUAAAAGUCAAAGGCUCAACCUUUGAAUGUCAGUGGAUACUGCCGGCUAGAGUCCGGAAGAGGCGAGUGGAACUCCUGGUGUAGCGGUGGAAUGCGCAGAUAUCAGGAAGAACACCAACGGCGAAGGCAGCUCGCUAGGACGGUACUGACGCUGAGACGCGAAAGCGUGGGGAGCGAACAGG